AUGGAUUUCGGGGUGGGGGAUUAUUGGACGAGAUCACAGGGAUGCCUUUACAGAUUGCAUACAUAGCCCAUCAGAUUUUAACACAGUCAAUCUGCCUUCAGUGUGCAGACAUAAUGCUAACCCCCCAUGUGUGGAUCAGACACUACACAGACAGAUAAUCCUUCCCAAAGUCUGUCAUUUGAUGUCCACCCCCAACCCCCAAAAAAGCAUCCAUGUGUUAUGCAUACUUACAUGCAUGUUCUUGCACACACUAGCAAGGAUUUGGGGUCACAGCAUGCAAAUGCUCUCUGGGUUUGGGGGUGAGUAGGGGAUUACUGAUUUAGUACCCUGGCCAGAUGCAAACACACACCACUGACACAGUGUAGUCUGAGUAACAGUGCACAGCAAUCCUGUCCAAUAAAAGUAACAUUUGAUUUGUGUAGAGUGAAAGCUUCCCUAAGUAAUAACAACCCUGUUAAUGUUGCAUUCAUAUCUAAUAUACUUUAAGUCCAUCAAUCCAUCAGCACAAUGGCAGUCAUCUCUUCUGUAUCAACACUGCAAAUCUCUUCAUCUGCUGCUCUUCAUCUUUGAGUCCUUCUCCAUUUCUGCACCUCAGCACUUUGCUUCUCAAACAUCUUCCUCCCUCUCAGCAUUCCCAUCACGUCCUCGUUUCCCCAUUUGCUCAGAUUUGAGGUUUUAUUCUCGGGGUAAGAUGCAGUGACUGUUUGAUAUGUAACUGAUACAUUUCACAGCCUAAGUUCUGCAGCUCAGAGGAGAGCUGCACUCCUUAGCUUACACCUUGCUCGGUGUGUGUUUUUGAACGGCUCUGUGAGCUCGAUCACAUAAACGGAACUGUCAGAACGAGAGAGCGGGACCAGACUCAGGAAGGAAGGAGCUCCGCUCAUAUGAAUCUCCGCUGGACGGCCCAGCAAAAGGAGCGCUGCCAUUUUUGGGAGCAAGGAGCCAUCUCCUAGGUGAGUGCCAUAGCAACAGCCAACGUGGGCCCCAGCUUUCCGAGCUGUCCUUUUCAAGCUUCCAAUCAAAAGUGGCAGGCCAGGUUUUUGUUGUUAUGUGGCGUCUCCUACCCGCUCUCUUGGCCAUUCUUCUGCCUCUUCUUUUCUCUGCCUCUGUGACAUGGGCCUGGCCUUGUUCACCAGGGAGGCUGUGAGAAGACUGCAGAGGGAGAGGCUCUGUGGGAAAAUGUUGCCAGACAACACAGGGGUAUGUCACAGCGAGGAUAGCGGAUGGUGGAAGAUGGUGGAUGGUGACUCUGUGUGUGGACUGGGAGCUGUUCUAACAGUAUAAUAUGUUGCACUUCACCCCUCCCUUCCCGAGGAGCUUCUACCCUGAGGAUGGCACAGUAGUGCAUUAAAUAGCUAAGCUGGUUGUUUGGGGGGUUUUCUGUGCAGAGCAUGCAUGUUUUUGUCCCCUUCCCAUGCUUGGUUUCUCUCCGGGGACUUUGGCUUCCUAACUAAAGUCCAAAGGCAAGCUCAUUAGGCCAAUUGGUGAUUCUAUACAGGCCGUGGUCCAUCAGCAUUGCUAGUCCAUCACAGGCUGACAGACAACCAUACACACAAGUCUGUGGUUGUCUGUCAGCCUGUGAUGGACUAGCAACCUGACCAUGUGUACACCUGGUUAUCCCCGCUACAAACACAGACAAGUAAUGAUUCCUCUUUAUAAGAAGAAGAUCCUUUCAGCUCUCCUCUUGUCUCAUAGGUUGAUAUGAACUUUUAAACCAGAUCCCCUUCAUGAUGCAAGCCCAACAGAGAUUUGCAUCUCCACCUGUAGUCGAUCCAGAGACCUUUUGGUUGUUGAGCAAAUGUGUAAAUCAUCCCUCAUAACGAAACUAAAAGUCUUGGCUGCAGUGGUUGUUAUUUUGAGCAUUUCGCACGAAGUCACUUUUACCGGUUCUCUGCAUCAUGAAAGGUGUGAUGCUUCGAGCACACCUGCUCUUCAUCAGACCACGAAGACGAUGACCCUGAUGACACUUUGGCUUCUAACCAAAUGGCCACAAAACUAAUGAUACCCCCAUCAGCCAGAGUGGGUAGUGCUAAUGAGCAAAUAGUAUGCUAAUAUGCUCAAUUAACAUGUCAGUCGUGGUUCUACAUGAUAAACAGCAUGCUGUUACCGUGUUAGCAUGCUGAUGUAAACACGGUACAGCAUCGCAGAGCUUCAAUAUGAAACGUGGUGGGAAUGUGGUUGGUGUGGAAGAAUUAUAUUUUAAGUAUCAGUUUGUAAUUUUAGAUUCUUUAUUGUUGUUGAUGUAUUACAGAGUAAUGGGCAAAAGUCUUGAGCCACCCGUCAUGUCUUUAUAUUGUGCUUCCAAUGAGCCAGAGCAACAGUCCUCCAGGGUUUCUGAAGGUCUUCCAAAGUUUUUCUUUGGACAUUAGCUGUUUUUUCACUGAUUUUCAGUACACUUGUUGUGCCUGAUAAUUUUCAGAGAAGUGUUUCUUAACACUGACCUAGGAGUUGUCCAAGCAUGAACAGGACCUGAGAGAUGGAUCUGGCCCUUCAGUUGGUCUCAAUGCAAGGAAGGCUCUCCAGCAGCGAUACUUAGGAAAGGGAAGUGGGGAGAACUGGACUGUAAAUGAGUGGCAACAAGUCUUAUGGUGUGAUUAUUCCAAAUUAGACAUAGGAGGAGACAGAGGAGGUCAGGAUAGAACAGUGAGUGUCUGCAGCCAUCUGUAAAACAUAGUGGAGACUCUGUCAUGGUUUGGAACUGCAUUUGUUGAAGACUUUGUCAAAAUUGAUGGAAUUAUGAACACAGAAAAGUACGAUCAUGCAUCCAUCUGGAAAGCAUCUGAUUGGGAACAACUUCAUUUUUCAACAUGACAAUGACCCCAAACACACUGCCAAUGCUGUAAAAAGCAUAACUGGAUGGAAAAAACAUGCACUGAAACACUAUCAGUCAUGGAUGGCUUCCACAGAACCUGGACCUCAACAUUACUGGGAUCAUCUUGACAGAGAAUGAAACAAAAGGCAUCCAACAUCCAAAGAAGAGCUUUGAAUGUUCUUCAAGAAACCUGGAGACCUAUUCCUGAACACUCCUUAAAGAAAUUAGAAGAAACAAUGAGAGUUCAGACUGUGCUGAAGAAUAAUAAAGAAACAGGGAUCAACCCAAGACCUUUGCACAGUCCUGUAUAUUCAUUUGACAUUGUCAUUAAUAGUAAUGUCCACGUUCUUGUGUUUGAUGAUCUCCCACAAACUAUGGCACAUCUUAAGCUUACCUUUAUAUGUAAAGUUCUGAAAUAAUUAUAACCGCAAUGACAGAGCUGACAGUAGGUGAGGUGUUACACUUUAUUACAUUCAUACAACAGUGACGAGUAAUAGUCUUAUAAGGUGCAUGUCAACGAGUACAGCGCUCAGAGGUUAUUAAAACGGUAUGUCCACAUCACAAAACACAUGCUGAAUAAUUCACACAUCUCUCGCGUUUCUGCUGUAGUUGUAGGAUACAUGUAAUGAGUGCUUCUGUCUUUAUGUAACCAGAGAGCCACCUUGUGGAUAAAUGAGACACACCAAAGAGGAAUGGAGAUGGCAGCAUACAUGUUAUGUUAGUUAUUGAAAUUUUUAAAAUACACAAGGACAAGGAUAAAGAAGGGACUAAGUUAGAAGGAGGAAAAUAUUCAGUUUCCCUGUUUUAUUAUUUAUUAACCUGUAUUAUCCUAUUCAAUGAUCAAUAA